rnacentral:tRNA from 1 species
GGAGGGAUGGCCGAGUGGUUGAAGGCGCACGCCUGGAACGCGUGUAGGCGGGCAACCGUCUCGUGGGUUCGAAUCCCACUCCCUCCG